rnacentral:rRNA from 1 species
UACGAAGGGGGCUAGCGUUGUCCGGAAUUACUGGGCGUAAAGCGCGCGCAGGCGGUCUUCCAAGUCAGUGGUGAAAGCCUGGAGCUCAACUCCAGAACUGCCAUUGAAACUGUUAGACUUGAGUACGAGAGAGGUGAGUGGAAUUCCCAGUGUAGAGGUGAAAUUCGUAGAUAUUGGGAAGAACACCAGUGGCGAAGGCGGCUCACUGGCUCGUAACUGACGCUCAGGCGCGACAGCGUGGGGAGCAAACAGG